UGGUCCCAGUGCAGAACCGGUGGGCAGAAUGUACAUUCCAAGGACAUGGGUGGGGAUGAGGAGCUUCCAAUUGCCCAGGUCCAGUUCAUGGGUCAAUCAGUGGUCAUGUCCUCUCAACG